UACGUAGGGUGCAAGCGUUAAUCGGAAUUACUGGGCGUAAAGCGUGCGCAGGAGGUUUUGUAAGUCAGAUGUGAAAUCCCCGGGCUUAACCUGGGAACUGCAUUUGAAACUACAAGGCUAGAGUGUGGCAGAGGGGGGUGGAAUUCCACGUGUAGCAGUGAAAUGCGUAGAGAUGUGGAGGAACACCGAUGGCGAAGGCAGCCCCCUGGGUUAACACUGACGCUCAGGCACGAAAGCGUGGGGAGCAAACAGG
rnacentral:rRNA from 1 species